rnacentral:rRNA from 2 species
ACACAGGUAUGCUUAGUACGGCGAGUGAGCGGCAAAAGCUCAAAUUUGAAAUCGGCCUCCAGGUCGAGUUGUAAUUUGUAGAUUGUAUUUUUGAUUUGGUUUAAGUCUGGUGGAACCCCGCGCCCUUAAAGGUGAGAGCCCCGUAAAACCUAUUCAAUUGUGAAAUACUUUCAAAAAGACUAGUUUUUUGGGAAUGCGCCUCUCAAUGGGAGGUGAAUUCCUUCUCAAACUAAAAAUUGUGGAGAGACCGAUAUCGAACAAGUACAGUGAUGGAAAGAUAAAAAGAACUUUGAAAAGAGAGUGUGAAAGUAUAUGUGAUUGUGUAAAGGGAGAGGUAUAAAAUAACACAUGUGUGUUGUGUUUACCUUUGUGUCGCCGCAGUGUACUCUCAACAUCUAUGCCCAGGUGUGAUAUGUGGGCAGGAAAAAGCUUGAGGAAAGUGGCUCUUCUCAGUGUUAUAUCCUUUUGUAAUACUGCCUCUCCUGUCUCACGACUGCGCAUUUUGCUAGGAUCUUGGCGUAAUGAUUUUGUACCGCCCGUCUUUGAAACGGGAACACAAA